GACGAACGCUGGCGGCGUGCUUAACACAUGCAAGUCGAACGGACAGGCCCUGCUUUUGUGGGGUGCUCGAGUGGCGAACGGGUGAGUAACACGUGAGUAACCUGCCCUUGUCUUUCGGAUAACUUCAGGAAACUGGGGCUCAUAUCGGAUAGGAGCUCCUGCUGCACGGUGGGGGUUGGAAAGUUACGGCGGUUGGGGAUGGAUUCGCGGCUUAUCAGCUUGUUGGUGAGGUAGUGGCUUACCAAGGCUUUGACGGGUAGCCGGCCUGGGAGGGUGACCGGCCACAUUGGGACUGAGGGACGGACCAGACUCCUACGGGAGGCAGCAGUGGGGAAUAUUGCACAAUGGGCGGAAGCCUGAUGCAGCAACGCCGCGUGCGGGAUGACGGCCUUCGGGUUGUAAACCGCUUUCGCCUGUGACGAAGCGUGAGUGACGGUAAUGGGUAAAGAAGCACCGGCUAACUACGUG
rnacentral:rRNA from 1 species